rnacentral:lncRNA from 1 species
CAGGGGCUGUGGUGAAGGGUCUUCAGUUAGCCUUUUACUGUGAGAGAGACCCUGCGGGGAGACAGAGCAGGAGAGGAGGAAAAACGGAAACUGUCUAUGGAGGCUGAGACCCUUAUGAGACAGUCCAAUCAGAAAUCUUAAAACUGUGGGGAAGUAUCUAGAAGCCCUGAAAUCUUUGGUGAAGGUGUGUUAAAAAUCACAUUAGGGAGUUCCCAUUGUGGCGCAGUGGUUAACGAAUCCGACUAGGAACCCUGAGGUUGCAGGUUCAGUCCCUGGCCUCGCUCAGUGGGUUAAGGAUCCGGUGUUGCCGUGAGCUGUGGUGUAGGUCGCAGACGUGGCUCGGAUUCCGCGUUGCUGUGGCUCUGGCGUAGGCCGGCGGCUACAGCUCUGAUUAGACCCCUAGCCUGGAAACCUCCAUAUGCUGCGGGAGCGGCCCAAAGGAAAUAGCAAAAAGACAAAAAAAAAAAAAAAAAAAAAAAAAAAAAAAAAGACCAAAAAAAAAAAAAAAUCACAUUAGAUCUAGAUGGGACCUUAUAUUGGGAGGCUGUAUAUUCAGUAAUAAACUGGGACACUUUUGAGAGUGAAAGAGAAUGUUAUGAAUAAAAUAGCCAGGAACAACAGGUGUAAGUGGGGACUGUGCUGGACAAACUGGCUCAGUGUUCACUCUGCUUAUUAAAGUAGUUCUUGGAGAGGAUGCGCUAUAGACUGUGAGGAAAAUUUCCAAAAUAAUGACGCAAUUGGGAAGGCGGGGAGAAUGAGGUGUAGAGAGCAGUUCUUUUCCAGAAUUUGGUGACAGGAAGAAUAUACAGUUUACAACAGCUCUCCGGGUGUGUCUUGUCCCCUCUAUCCCACGCUGAGGGUGGCAGAGGUAUGAGGGUCACAAGGUGGCAGAAGUUCUGGAACCCAGAGCUUCACACUGGGCUUGGCACAAAGAAGUUGAUGAUAGGGCACUUAAUGACCGACGGAACUCACGUAUCUUGUUUUCCAGGUCUCUCAAUUUCCGGAACAAAGCGGAUUCCAGGUGCGCUUGCGCAGACUCCAGCGUGGGAGGGGGUGCUCUCAGGGUCCUCAACGCAAUUCCAUCCUCGGGAGAAACUUGAUAUGCCCAAGUAUGAACCCAACUUAAAGAGGAAGAAUGAUAUGAACUGGAGGUGCUUUCGGAAACUUGUUGCAGAUCUGAGGUCUGAAGAUGCAGAGAAAUGGCUUUUACCACGUUUCACUUUGAAAGGUAGGAAACUUCUUUGACACAGUUGGUAGAAUUUCAGAGGCAGAGUCCUUAAGCUUCUUAUACUUAAAAAAAAAAUAACUUACCUGUCCCUCCUCCCCCCACCCAAUUAAAUAAUGUCUUAACAGUGGGGCUAGGUUAGGAGCACUUUUACAAGCUUCUCAGGUGAUUCUGUGCACAGCAUUGUGAACUCUUGAUCUAGACCAGCUCAUUUUACUGAUGGGAAAAGUACUUUCUGCUGGUGGGGAAGGUACAUGUUCAUCUUCCAUGUGGCCUCCAAAAUAUGCUAAAAAAAGAAAUUGGAGUUAAAAACCUUCACUGAGUCCCCCCACCCCCUUUCUGACAUUUCCCUUCAGUUUUUAGGACCAAGCUCAGGGUGUUUAGCUUAGAUCACAGCUCUUUUCAGUAUUUGCCUCUUGCUACACAUCUCACCUCCAUUUUUCUCUUCCCCUACUUCUAC